UGGAACGGGUCUAGUAGGAGUUACAGCAGCACAAGUUCAAGAGGUGAUGGAGUUUUUAAACUCAAGAAAGUCUGGUUCUCAUCUACAAGGACCGGUCUACGAGGAGGAUGAUUGGAGUGGCUGAGAGACAAGGUGGACUAUAUAUUUUUUGUGGUGUGCCGCAUGUUGAAGUUAUGGCUGUGCAUGAAGAUUCAUAUGAGUUGUGGCAUCAGCGUAUGGGACAUCCUUCAGAAAAAGUUUUGCAGAAAUUGCAAGGUGUGAGUAGAUUAAUUAAGAAGAAUAAUGAUGCUUGUGAUAUUUGUCCCCGGGCAAAGCAUCGUAGAAGCAGUUUUGCUAGUAGUUUGAGUAAAUCGAAUUGUAUUUUUGAUUUAGUUCAUAUAGAUUUAUUGGGUCCUUAUAAGAUCCAUUCAUCAUGUGGAGCACAAUAUUUUCUAACAAUAGUUGAUGAUUUUUCAAGAGG